rnacentral:rRNA from 1 species
CGCGUAGGCGGAUAGUUAAGUCCGGUGUGAAAGAUCAGGGCUCAACCCUGAGAGUGCAUCGGAAACUGGUUAUCUUGAGGACAGGAGAGGAAAGUGGAAUUCCUAGUGUAGCGGUGAAAUGCGUAGAUAUUAGGAGGAACACCAGUGGCGAAGGCGACUUUCUGGACUGUAACUGACGCUGAGGCUCGAAAGCGUGGGGAGCGAACAGGAUUAGAUACCCUCGUA